rnacentral:rRNA from 1 species
AACGAACGCUGGCGGCAGGCUUAACACAUGCAAGUCGAACGCCCCGCAAGGGGAGUGGCAGACGGGUGAGUAACGCGUGGGAACGUACCUUUCGCUUCGGAAUAUUCCCGGGAAACUGUGAGCAAUGCCGAAUACGCCGUAUUGGGAAGGAUUUAUCGGCGAAAGAUCGGCCCGCGUUAGAUUAGGUAGUUGGCGGUGUAAUGGACCACCAAGCCUACGAUCUAUAGCUGGUCUGAGAGGAUGAUCAGCCACACUGGGACUGAGACACGGCCCAGACUCCUACGGGAGGCAGCAGUGGGGAAUCUUGGACAAUGGGCGCAAGCCUGAUCCAGCCAUGCCGCGUGAGUGAAGAAGGCCUUAGGGUUGUAAAACUCUUUCGCCGGUGAAGAUAAUGACGGUAACCGGAGAAGAAGCCCCGGCUAACUUCGUGCCAGCAGCCGCAAUAA